rnacentral:lncRNA from 1 species
UUUUUUUUUUUUUUUUUUUUAAGAAAAAGACCUUCAUUCUUUGCCAGGUGUUUUUGGGUUUUGUUUUGUUUUUUAAUCCUUUGGUCCAAUACUUUAAUUACUUUAUGGUUAAAUCUGACUUCUAACUUGAGAAAAAAAACAGUGACUUAAGAAGCCCCUUUGUGCAUGUGAAUCAUAACCCCUAGAAUCAGGACAAGCAGAGAUGGGAACUGCGUCUGUCACUCUGACAUGCCAUAAAGAAACCAAUGUGGGUUGUCAUGCCGUGCCUCAUUUAUACCUACCCUCAUGGAGACAGGGUCAGAUUGCUAAACCUGAAUAUUUUAAAUUCAGAAUACUUCUUCAGUAUUCUUUGCUUUAUAAUUGAUGGUUUUGAAAGGGCAAGAUUUGCUUGGUACCAUGGUUAAGAUAGUAGAGUGGAACUAUAGUGAUCUAAAAUGAUCUAAUUUUCUAGAAAAUUACUACUCUCUGCAAGCUGCAUAAACUUUAAUUAAAAAGACAAGGAGGCCUAUUCUCUCUCCUUACACACAUGCGACAUACUAGGCUCUUGGGAUUCUGGUAAAAGGAAAAGAGCAGAUUGAAGAGAUUAGAAUUUUUAGCAAAACUCUAAAGCUAAUUAGGAUGUGAUGCUUAUUUCCAUCAUUAAGGACCAACAAGCAUCCAACAUUUGUUGCUCUUCUAGAGAGAAAAUAUUUUUAUAUCAAAAUACAUAUAGUUAGCUUAUAAAAUAAACUGUAGACGCAGGUUAAGUCACAAGUAAGACAACACACAAAUCAGCCCAUAUGGACAUGACAAUAACAUUUUUCAGUUAAAUAUCACCAAAAUGAGCAUUCCCAAAGAGGCUUAAUACAAGGCUUUAUGUAUCUAUAUCCAAUAAAAUAUCCCCAACAUCCCCAUCCCCAACAUCCCCAAUAAAGAAAUAUUAUUUUAGCUUUCACCAGAAAGUCUCCAGACGCUGAUUUUAAUAGUAGCAUAUUUAGAGGAACGGAUCAAGGAAAAGAGAGUCCACUAACGUGAGAAGAGAUGUUGAGUAUGAAAAUAACCUCAGUAAUUCACAGGAUAGGAUCUAUGGCCACAAAAGGUUGCUCUGCCUGAGUCAGCACUCAUGGGUUUUUUUUUUCCCCUUCACCUGCUUUUUCUCUUUGCUCUCUUCCUUCCUGUACGCUCUCUUUCCAUGGCAGUCUGCCUUCCAAGCUGUGCUCCCAAACUCGUCAUCUAAAAUCACUUUAAAAGGACAUGUUUGAUGCAAAGCAGCUUAAUGUACUUUGUCCCACGUGUAGAAGCAUUUGGGUAGCCUCAGUGUCAAUGUGAACUGGGCUGUCAUGGAGGCCGGCCCACUGAGAUUAAAUGAAAAUCAACUUUAAUAGGGAUGAUGGGAAGCAGAAUAACAUUUUUUAAAAAUGUUUUAAAUUCAGAUAUCUGCAUCUAUUCCUCCCAUUCGACAAGUCCUGAAAAAGCUGGUGGCAGCUACAGCUUCACAAGCAACUUCUUGCAAUAUAAGGAUGCACUGAGAAAAUUGAGAAAUGAGGGGAAGGAUGUAUACACAGCACAAAUGUUUAUGAUUAUGUACACAUCACUUGGGUUGAGUAUGUAGCUCAGCUAUACUAACUAUACUACCUGAUUAACUAUAUUUAUAUAUACAGAAGGUGGUUUGAAAAGCACUGUAGAAUUUGUGUGUGUGUAUGCAAGCAGAGUGAAAUACUGUAUUGUGUGUAUAAAUAUCAGGUAGUAUAAAAUAAAAUACCCUAUAGUUGUUUGUUUAGGGACACGUUUGGAUUGAGUGAGCAUUAUAACAAUCAUUUCUUUCAAAACCACAAAAACAUCACAGUUUUUAGUUUUACUAAAGUCUAGUUUUUGGCAGUUCUUUUAUCACAUCUGUCAUCUCCUAAGCUUUGCUUAGCCAAAGCACUCAGACUUGAAUUUUGAAAUUGUCAAUAUAGGCCUUCUAAUCUUUAAGUCUUAAAUUAUCUAAGCAGAUUAACUACUAUUAUUCUAUGCCUACAGGACGAAGGGGUAAAGAAAGGCAGAGGAAAUAUAACUUUUUUCAGGCAAUUAAGUUCCUGUGGAGGUUGUGUUUGGGGCACGUGUUUGGAAAAUGGUCCAAUGUAUUUAUGCAAAUAACCAGAUAGACAAGAUGAGGACAUAAACUCCAGUAUCUACAUCGGUAAGACAAAAAAAAAAAAAAGUCUUCAUCUAGGAUAUUUCAUCCUCCGGCUUUUUUUUCCCCCUCCAGCUUUUAAAUAAAAAGUUAUAGUUCAUAUUGAUGCUUUCCAGUUUGCCAACUGGCAAUGGAAGUUCUGAAGCCAAGAAAGAUAUCUCGAAGAAACAAACAAUCAUGCACACAAAGAAAAAAGCAGAAGGAAAAAAAAAAAAAGAAAAGAAAGGAGGGGGCCCCUUUUCACAGCAGUGUCUAUCUGUGUGGUGACCUGAUUUGUGCUAUGGAUCUCCCUUUGGAGAUCAAAGCAGGAUUAACGUGAUUCUUUACUGUUUGCACUGCACAUCUCAAAGCUCCGGAGAUGUAAGAAAUAAGUACAAAUGCUGUCCUGGGACACAGGGGAAACGGAAUAUGAAUGUGGUGGGUUAACAGUCCAAAGGCUAACCAUAAAAAAGUUAUUUGGGAUUUGGGAGGCAAUGAGGAAUUUCAAGUACUUUGUAUUUGUAAGCACCUUGGCUUUCUCUUUUCUCAUUUUCAGGGGUGAGGCUUUUGUCUCGUUUAUGAGGCCAGCACUGAAUGUCAUAUUAUUAAGUCUCCACAAUGACCUUCUAGCUCAUUUGGAAUGUUUAGCAGCUGCUAGUACACAUAAAAAGAGAAGGGAACCCUGCAGCAUGUUUUCACACUAAAGCACUUUCACGUUACAACCAGGCAUUUACGCAGAGGAUUUAAAAGAAGGGAAAAUCUUCUAAAAUAUCAAAACGUUGAGCUUUUGUGUUUCCACCGCGUGUGACAUUCCUGGAUGCCCGAACCCCUAAAGAGUUAGUGUUUCUGCAGCCUUUCAGAGGUGCUUGUUCUUUUGUUGAGAAAAAAAAAAAAAAAAAGGCAAGUCUUAUAUUCCUGGGAUCUCAGAAUGUGAAGGAAAAAAAAUCACUUCUAUUUUUAAUGCCUAGUGUAUACGCCUCUUGGAGGGGGUAGAAAAAGCUCCCCUCCGCCAAACCUGACUGUGAUUUCAGCUGCAUUACCUAGAAGAGGGCGCGCCAGAGUGUAGCUCAACCUGCAGUCUUUAGGGAGUCGGUACUGACCGGGAGAACCGGGUUGCGGGGGCGGGGGCGGAGGUUCUCUCGGUCCCGGAUGGGAUCCCACGGUCUCCACUCUAGGUUCACUCAAUUCCACCCCAAACUCACCUUUUCCGAAACUCUGCCCGCCUAGCCACACAAAGACACCUACACAAGAAGUCCCAAUCCCGACAGCCCAUUGACCAAGCUGAGCCCAGCUUUUUCCUGAGAGCAACUUCGUCUUGUUCGCUCUUUCAAGUUCCUUUGGGUCAGCGCUCGAGGACCUUUUUUUUUUUUUUUUUCUGCUUUCACCACUUCCCUUUCACCCUCCAAACCCAGCUACGCUACGUGGCCAGGAAGUGGCUGGAGAUUAAAUCUCUGCAGAAUAGACCCAGGAUAGAGGUGCAGAUGGGACCCGAUGCAGGGGCCCCGGGGGUCCUUCCCGCGCGUAUCCCCGCCCUGACACCCAAGGAGGUUCCACCUCCUUUUGCGUAACGUCCCUUACGCCGUCCCGCGCGCCACGGUGGGGAGCUUGAAGUCAGGCUCUUUGCAGAGCCCGGGGUGCGGGGCUGGGGGUCCCCAGUGCGGAGUCCCCGCAGCCCCGCCCGGGCGCCCCAGCCUGCGCCUCUGCGUCCCGGCGGCGCCGGACUCCCGCUGCCCGCCCCAAGCUCCUACCUGGAGGAGGAAUGCAACGGGGAACCUGGUGAAUUGCCUCAACUGGAAAAGCAGCCUGCUGGUGAAGCUUUUUGUCCGGAACACAAUUCCCAGCGCCAAGAUAAGGAAGGGAAGGAAUCUCUUUCAGUGCCUAAACUCGCUACACUCACCUCCAGUUGUUUCCAUCACAAUAAACACUAGCAACUUGGACUUUUCCGAGGCCCUUUCCUUGCUUUAUUUAGCCAGAUCUGACAGUGUGGAUAAUUGUUUUCCCAUUAUCAUGCUAAUUCGUUAACAGGGAACUUUUCAGCUGAGCAGGAUUGUUCGGGAAUCAGUAACUAGGAAUCCUGACUGGCUGAGAGAGUCGCCCGAAAAUUCUAUAGGAAAAGUUCGGAACAGCAAUAUCAACUCACCCUCCGCCUCUCGCCCUGUUUUUACAGUAUUAUUCACUCUGCAGCCCUGGUUUGCACAGCGGUGGCCUAUCACUCGGAAACCAUCCUGGAGCUAAAAGGAUAGUAGUUAGAGACCUGCAAUUCAUUUUUUAAAUGUUAAGUUUUAAAAUAUUGCAGGGUGGGGUUUCCCCCCCACACACAAGUUUAAAGUACCAGCUGAAAUCUCAAGUACAAUUAGUGGCAGUAUUGCUGCGAAUUUUCUAACCGUCGGUAUCUGACUUUGAAACAAAAUAUUAGAGUUAGAAUUCAAUAAGAGUUAUUUUGCUUUUAAAACGCAGUGGGAGCCCUAUAAGUUUUACAGUUUCUGUCAAGACAUUGCUAAUGUUUAUGUACAUAUUCUUAUGGGUUGUACUUUUUAAGUUCUCAUUUUUUUUUAAUUUCAUAUUUUGGGCAUGAUUCCUUAAGUUCCUAUUAACAUAUGAUCUUUUUAAGUUAACAGGAAAUUGAAAUUCUAAGGAAGGGAAGUGCAGACUCCAGCCUCUUCUUUUCACAUCGGUUAGAAGUUCAAUGCACCAACUCUUUUGACUUGUAUUUGCUAACUUAGAAAACUUUAAAGGUACAUUUGGAAAAUUAACUUGAAAGGACCCCAUAACAGAGGGUGACUUUUAUCAACUUUUUUGGAGGGGAGGGUGUUUAAAGCAGUUAAGACCUACAGGGUAAUUAAACUAUAUAGCAUUCUGAACUAUAUAACAUGGGGGACAGCUUUAAAAACGAUCCCAUCUAACAAUUCUUACAUCUACAGAAUGAGUAAGAAGUCCAUAACUACCAACGCCAGCAUUGCUUGCAAAUUACAUUCGAUUGAAACUCUGCUGAAAGAGUUUAUCUUCCAUUGUAUUUUGGAAUUGUGUGAAGGUAUGUAUGAACAGGAUCUAUGUAUAUAUAAUUCUUAUACUUUAUAUAUGUUUAGACAUGCAUUCUUUUUAAAUGUUUAUGUGGUUAGUCACUUUAAGAACAUCAAAAUAAAUUGUACGUUGGCUUACACUAUCUCCCAGGUAUUCCCAAACACUGAUGAACAAAAAUCUUUAUAUCGGAAAUGAAGAGCUACCCAUUUAAAGGAAAGAAUGGAAAGGGGAACUCGAUUUAUUCUCAUUUGUUUAUCGCUAGACGUUGCCCCCCUCUCCACAAAUUCAUUUGAAUAGCUUUCAAGCCGGAAAAUGGAAAUGUGGCUCCUGCCCUCUAUUUCAGCGGCAAGCAGCAGCGUCCUGGCAACAGCGCAAUUUUCUAUCAUCAAGGAUAAAUGGCAUCGAACAGAACAUUCUGAUAAAAAAAAAAAAGAAAGAAAGAAAGAAAGAAAGAAAAAAA